rnacentral:rRNA from 1 species
UAGGGAAUCUUCCACAAUGGACGCAAGUCUGAUGGAGCAACGCCGCGUGAGUGAAGAAGGCUUUCGGGUCGUAAAACUCUGUUGUUGGAGAAGAAUGGUCGGCAGAGUAACUGUUGUCGGCGUGACGGUAUCCAACCAGAAAGCCACGGCUAACUACGUGCCAGCAGCCGCGGUAAUACGUAGGUGGCAAGCGUUAUCCGGAUUUAUUGGGCGUAAAGCGAGCGCAGGCGGUUUUUUAAGUCUGAUGUGAAAGCCCUCGGCUUAACCGAGGAAGUGCAUCGGAAACUGGGAAACUUGAGUGCAGAAGAGGACAGUGGAACUCCAUGUGUAGCAGUGAAAUGCGUAGAUAUAUGGAAGAACACCAGUGGCGAAGGCGGCUGUCUGGUCUGUAACUGACGCUGAGGCUCGAAAGCAUGGGUAGCGAACAGGAUUAGAUACCCUGGUAGUCCAUGCCGUAAACGAUGAAUGCUAGGUGUUGGAGGGUUUCCGCCCUUCAGUGCCGCAGCUAACGCAUUAAGCAUUCCGCCUGGGGAGUACGACCGCAAGGUUGAAACUCU